rnacentral:tRNA from 1 species
CACUAGAAAGCUAAUUAUUGGACAAAGCGGUUUGGGCCUUUUAAGCCAAAGUUUGGUGACUACCGACCACCUCUAGUGA